rnacentral:ribozyme from 1 species
GAACAGAAAAAAGGGAAGGCAUCAAUCGCAUCAUGUCAUGUCAUAUGUGACGUGGAUUCAUUCUCUUUCUUUUUUUCUUUCUUUCUUUCUUUCUUUC